ACAACUUUGUGACAGGAUGGACAAAAGCACAGGUUCGGCCCCAGAGCAAACUGGGAGGCCGCCGGAGGGACCAGUUACAACGGGAAGGCCGUCCAGUGCCGUGGGUGUGAUCGAGAACAUGCCUCGACACCACUGGUCCAGUUCACACCCGCAGAAAGGAAACUCGGUGGGAUCAGCAGAUUAGCAGGGAGACCUUAAGGCAGCUCUCCCAAAGACGAUCAAGCCUUAUCAUCAUGCGUCCUGCUUCCUUUUGAACUGAUCUAACGACGAUAAGGCGGCAGAAGUCGUCGCCUGAGACGUCGGCGUCGUCUCUCCAUCCACUGACGUCUAAUCGGCGUCGGCUCAACUUCUCACACAGAGUCUAUGGGUGCGUCUAAGUCUAAGUUUUUUCCUCUUUUCUAAUUCUGACUUCCCUCCUGUUACAGCCCCCAGUCUCGCAACAGUCCCACUUUGACAAUGCAUAUGACGGAAGCCAAAAAUAACAAAUCUGCAGAAUGAAUUCAGCAGAUGUAUUACACCUUUCCGGAGCAUGAGGAUUCAUAUCGGCGCAUGGCUGAGGGUGUUGGGGAAGAAAUGAACUGUUAGAGUGGUGACGCGCAGCCCAUUUGACUGCUUCUCGGAGCUUUUUAUCCUCGGGUGGCGUGACCCAGUUUCCACCCCUGGUGCCCCCUGAUGUCACAGUGUAAUUUGCGGUUCUGGGAAAUUACUGGAGCAGGGAGGCCUGGGAGACGCAGUCAAUUAGGCAGGACUCCUCCUGUCCAGUGGGGGCACAGCCGUCCUCCGACCGACACCGUCACCUUCCUCCAAACCAGGGUUUUCUCACAUUUCAAGGCCAAAUACGAGCCGCCGUUCCUCAGGACGGGGCCCGUUUGCGGUAUAAGUGCACAGAUGGACUGAGAGUUCGGACCACGGUGUCUUGAGAGCCAUCUGCUCCACCUGGCGAGGGACACGUCCACCCAGUAAAGCUUAAUAUCACGUAAUGCGAUUGGCUCCAUUUCAAAGCGUCAGGUUGAGAAAACAAGGCGUACAAAAGGAGAAAUGACACGGGCAGAGCUUCUCAGGGAGGAAAAGACUGGGUUCCUAUUACAUAUUUAUUCAUAUGUUCAUAUACUUUGUACAUAUUUAUUUGUAAUAACAUGUAUCUGGAGCAGAGGAGAGGUGGACAACGAUGGCAGAGGAGGGCACGUUGCAGGAAUGUUAUUCUCUUCAUUUAGCUCAUUCAAUAAUAGUCAAGGUCCCAUUAAACAAGGUACAACGAUGAUUUCCUAAAAUAUAGGCUGACAUAUAAAACUAGCAUCUUUUUUUUUUUUUUCAAA